rnacentral:rRNA from 1 species
UGGCUCAGACGAACGCUGGCGGCGUGCUUAACACAUGCAAGUCGAACGGAGAAAGAUGGGAGCUGGCUCCUAUUGAUCUUAGUGGCGAACGGGUGAGUAACGCGUAACCAACCUGCCCUUCAGUGGGGGAUAACAACGGGAAACCGUUGCUAAUACCGCGUACGAUUUCCGAGUGGCAUCGCUUGGAAAUGAAAGGUGGCCUCUAUUUAUAAGCUAUCGCUGAAGGAGGGGGUUGCGUCUGAUUAGCUAGUUGGAGGGGUAACGGCCCACCAAGGCAAUGAUCAGUAGCCGGUCUGAGAGGAUGAACGGCCACAUUGGGACUGAGACACGGCCCAAACUCCUACGGGAGGCAGCAGUGGGGAAUCUUCCGCAAUGGACGAAAGUCUGACGGAGCAACGCCGCGUGAGUGAUGACGGUCUUCGGAUUGUAAAGCUCUGUUAAUCGGGACGAAAGAGCUCUGUGUGAAUAAUGCAGAGAAGUGACGGUACCGGAAUAGAAAGCCACGGCUAACUACGUGCCAGCAGCCGCGGUAAUACGUAGGUGGCAAGCGUUGUCCGGAAUUAUUGGGCGUAAAGCGCGCGCAGGCGGGUUUUUAAGUCUGUCUUAAAAGUUCGGGGCUUAACCCCGUGAGGGGAUGGAAACUGGAAACCUAGAGUAUCGGAGAGGAAAGCGGAAUUCCUAGUGUAGCGGUGAAAUGCGUAGAUAUUAGGAAGAACACCAGUGGCGAAGGCGGCUUUCUGGACGAAAACUGACGCUGAGGCGCGAAAGCCAGGGGAGCAAACGGGAUUAGAUACCCCGGUAGUCCUGGCCGUCAACGAUGGGUACUAGGUGUAGGAGGUAUCGACCCCUUCUGUGCCGGCGUUAACGCAAUAAGUACCCCGCCUGGGGAGUACGAUCGCAAGAUGCAACUCAA